AUUCCUACAGAAUCUCUGGUAGGCUACCUGAACAUGCAUCUGGGUUUUCCCCGUGGCUUUGAAAUCGAGAUUCUAUUCUGAGUUGAACAUAAGGUGUUGGCCAAUACAGUUCAGAGAUGUAGGCCUACCUGUUGAUUUAUAUACGCCAUUUUUGUUUGUUUGCCUUUCCGGUGCGGUAGAGUGUGGGAAGGAGAUGGGAGAAGCGCGUGUGCCAUUUACGGUCUGUUAGCUAAUUAACACACGGAGUAUGUGAAAACAACGUGAACGGCCACCGAAAACGACCUGUUCAUCUCGAUGGGAGAAAUGAAGACAAAGUAACAAAAACACCGUGUGUUACUGUUAUCCAGAGGGGGGCGCUGUAGGACAGAGUCAGCAUCUGGCCAGGCCCCAUCUCCGCUAACUCUCCAGGAGAGAGCGAAUAGCGGUAAGCGGAAUAGCGGAUGACGGCGGUCUCUCGGCGCGGACUCCUGAAAGGCGCUGUUUGUUCUACGCGCGAUAAAACGUCUCCCCGCGGCACGUCGCUUUAGCCUCAUAAGAUAACGCCAAUAUUUAUUUCCUCCUCUCCUCUGCGGACCCGCCUGCACCUGACAUUUUCGUCGGGGGGGAAAAAAGGCGGGGCCGGCUGUGCCCAGCGAUGAAAACGCGGGGAUAAAACCGGAGACAACGCGGGCAGCGGAAGAUGAAAGCUGACUGCGUUUUUAAACGGAUACCGCUGCGCAUCAGUCUUACUUCACUUUGUGUUAAAAGAAGUACACUGACGGAAGAUAGGAGCUAAACGUGUGUGUGUGUAAAGAUGAGGCCGAAAUGUUUCUAAAGAUAUCGCGCAUCCAUCUGUGAAAAGUGCAUCUUUUAUCCCCAAUGGUUGCAUGAAACAAUGCCGAAUGACGAUCUUUAAAGAGUGCUGUCAUUUGUUUUAUCGGCACACCUGUGCUUUCAACUUGUAUCACUAAGAGAGAAGUUCAUUUCCAUUUAAAAUAUAGUGUGCUGAAACGAACACUGCAAAGGCAGUGUGUUUGGUGUGUGACAUUGUGAUUGUUUUGAGUCUCUGGUGUGCCAGCCUGUGUAUGCGAUCAGUCUUGCUCGACAAACUGUGUUCUCUGAUGUAGCACCGAUUGCAUCUGGCUGGUGUGUACAUUUGAAACCAAUUUCUGUGUGUCACUGCAUGGCAAACAUUUUACAUGGAGGUGGAGCAGGAAUGAUUUAUUUAGCCAAUUAAAGUGAAGGAUGAUUCGACGGCCAGACUGAAAGAGCCAGAUUGAGAAUCUCUGCCCGAACAGCAGUGCUAACGGGCCUAAUUUUAUGCGACAAAUGCCUUGGGAUCUCAAACAACUGCGGCAAGUCAAGACCCCAUCCGGGCCUCCAUCUCGGUAACGGGGCACCGGAAUGACUUGUGCCAGGGUGAAGGCGCCCGCGAUCCAACAACAUCAUCCCCAGGAGCGGCCAAG